CUCUAAGAAGGGGAGACAACUCCCCGAAUUUAACCAUAACCCCCCGGGGGAGAGAGAUAACAAAAAAAAAAAAAAAAAAAAA
rnacentral:rRNA from 1 species